rnacentral:rRNA from 1 species
CGCACCGUAAACGAUGAUUACUCGCUGCUAGAGGGCAACUUUUAGUGGCUUAGCGAAAGCGAUAAGUAAUCCACCUGGGGAGUACGCCGGCAACGGUGAAACUCAAAGGAAUUGACGGGGGCCCGCACAAGCGGAGGAGCAUGUGGUUUAAUUCGAUGAUACGCGAGGAACCUUACCAGGGCUUGAAAGUUAAGGAAUGAUAAUGAAAGUUGUCAGUCAGCAAUGACCUAAAACUAGGUGC